AGUGAACGCUGGCGGUAGGCCUAACACAUGCAAGUCGAACGGCAGCACAGUAAGAGCUUGCUCUUACGGGUGGCGAGUGGCGGACGGUUGAGGAAUACAUCGGAAUCUACUUUUUCGUGGGGGAUAACGUAGGGAAACUUACGCUAAUACCGCAUACGACCUACGGGUGAAAGCGGGGGAUCUUCGGACCUUGCGCGAUUGAAUGAGCCGAUGUCGGAUUAGCUAGUUGGCGGGGUAAAGGCCCACCAAGGCGACGAUCCGUAGCUGGUCUGAGAGGAUGAUCAGCCACACUGGAACUGAGACACGGUCCAGACUCCUACGGGAGGCAGCAGUGGGGAAUAUUGGACAAUGGGCGCAAGCCUGAUCCGGCCAUACCGCGUGGGUGAAGAAGGCCUUCGGGUUGUAAAGCCCUUUUGUUGGGAAAGAAAAGCAGCAGGUUAAUACCCCGCUGUUCUGACGGUACCCAAAGAAUAAGCACCGGCUAACUUCGUG
rnacentral:rRNA from 1 species